rnacentral:rRNA from 1 species
AUUGAACGCUGGCGGCAGGCCUAACACAUGCAAGUCGAGCGGAGCGGCGGACGGGUGAGUAACACGUGGGUGACCUGCCCUGCACUUCGGGAUAAGCCUGGGAAACUGGGUCUAAUACCGGAUAGUGGGGGAUGGGCCCGCGGCCGAUCAGCUUGUUGGUGGGGUAAUGGCCUACCAAGGCGGCGACGGGUAGCCGGCCUGAGAGGGUGGACGGCCACAGUGGGCCUGAGACACGGGCCAGACGCGUAUGGGAGGCAGCAGUGGGGAGUAUUGCACAAUGGGCGGAAGGCUGAUGCAGCGACGCCGGGUGGGGGAUGACGGGCUUCGGGUUGUAAACUCCUUUCACCAUCGACGCGGUAGAUGGAGAAGAAGCACCGGCUAACUACGUGCCAGCAGCCGCGGUAAUAC